CCUUGUAAAGUAGACACGAACUCAAAACUGUAUGGCCUUAAACAAGGAAAAGCUAAAUGUCAAAACAGCCUCCUAAAUGCAAUCAGGUUUGCUUAGAAUAGGCCGCCUAAAGACAAUGGGAGAUAUGCCCUAUUUUCUUCUUGUUUUCGCUCCACCUUUGUGAUCUGGGACUACAUGUACUGCAGUGACUGCACAUUAGGCCGGACCGCCCGAAAAUAUUUAGGACAAGUAAUGUCAGUGUGCACAUAUAAGGAAGAAGUUAAUACAAACAAUAUAAAAGGGAAAAGAAAAUUCUAGUACAAGGAGGGCAUCACUCCGGUCUAACAUGGAGGAAACAAGGCCCCUGCCGAAAGCCAGCUCUUCUACUUUUCCUCUCUACAAGAAUCUUAAUUAGCUGCUAAGAAUUGAAUUGCAGUAUAUAAUCUAAACUCCUUAGCUAUAUAUGAUUUUUUACCCCCUCCAACUGAACCAUCUUAAAUAAAAUUAGUAAGAUAUGUGUACAUUAUGUCCUUACUCUGUAUGUAGAUUGAUCACUCGCAAGAAAUCGACUGAUAAAUUAAGUGCUUGUAAUCUGUGUCUG